UCGCCAAAAUUGCUGUGAUGUGUUAGUGAAUGAAAUCCAUAUCACAGCCGUAUUGACGAUU
rnacentral:pre_miRNA from 1 species